UCUCUCCAUUCCCUUAAGAAUGUGUCCUUUUAAAGAUCCUUUUUAAAAAUCCUUCAUAAAAAUCUCUAGUCAUUUAAAACCAUGAAUAUUAUGCCUCAGUAAAGUAACAUACAAUUUUACAGCCCAAGACACGGCAGUCGCCUCUGGGGAACACAUUGCUCUUCCUUUCACUCAUCAACACCCACUCUAACACAAAUGAAAUCCAAAAGCCCAUAUGGUCCUCCCACAGCAUCUUGGGUAACAUCGUGUCUCCUCGGCGUAACAAUCACUUAAAGAAAGACUGCCCACAACUAGGCUCUUUCAGAGGGUUGCAUGUUUCUUGACCAAUCCAGGAUGAUUUUGGAAUCAAAAGCCCUCAAGGAAAUGUGGAAGGUCCCUUGGUUCCAUGCCCCUGCUUCAGGAAGACUGUAAGUAAACUAUUCUGGGCAUGUGGGAAUCUCAUGCAGGAACCUCAGCUGGCUGGUUGGAACCCACCAGAGACUAUCACCAGAGACUCUCAUAUACUAUCUGUACAUGCACCACCCUGGGUGUACCUCGUGGAUCGAAGACCACAGGCCAUCAUAUGCCAAGACCAAGAUUCCAAAGCUGCUUGGUGUCUCCUUUCAUUCUAGCAAUCUGAAGUCUUAGGCUCAACACAAGGGCACCUCAACAGAGAAAGGCCUUUGCAAAUCCUACGCCCACACUCAACAACUGUGGUACAUCCCAGCUUCCAUCUUUACUACUGAAGGGUCUCUCACUGAACAGCAAGCUGCCAGGAUCUGCCUGUCUCUGUGCACCCAGAGCUGGGGUUACAAGCACAUCCGCCCUAUGCAGCUCUUCUGUGGAUUCCGAUGCAGGUCCUGACGCUCGUACAACACGUGCUUUACCCACUGAGCCAUGUCUCCUGCCUUCACCCACCGCGCCAUCUCUGCCCCCCAACCAUAAUAAAACUUGCACCUAUCUACUCCCACCCCCAACCAAUAGUAUCCACGUCACCCGACGAUGGCAUGGCAUGCUUGGAGACUCUAAAAGCUGCAUCUAAGACAGGAGUUCAAGAAGAAUAAACCAGAACAUGCAAGACCA